CGGAAAGCUUCCUGGCAGGGGCCAUGAGGGGCUGGAGAGAUGGCUCAGCAGUGGCGAGCAUUUACGGAACGUCUAGAGGAGCUGACAGCGGCUCAUAAGGGACUGACAGUUCAUCUUAGUGUCCAUCCAGGCAACGAACAAGAGUGUGACGAGCACGGUGGAGCUGAGGGAGGAUCGGCGGUUCCGAUAGGAUCUGUGUUCUGCUUGCUCACCAUCGAGUCCUCUCUCGACCAGCAAGAACGACACGACCACCAGUCCUUCUAACAGCAGUUUAUUCAGCAAACUUCCAUCUUCAUCUCUCUCGCUUCAACUUUUUCUCUCUCUAACACGGGCCUCUCACUCUUAUAUACUCUCAGCCCUCAUCCACUCCCGGCAGGCCACAUCACC
rnacentral:lncRNA from 1 species